rnacentral:rRNA from 1 species
CGGGUGAGUAAUGUAUGGGGAUCUGCCUGAUGGCGGGGGAUAACUACUGGAAACGGUAGCUAAUACCGCAUAAUGUCUGCGGACCAAAGCGGGGGACCUCCGGGCCUCGCGCCAUCAGAUGAACCCAUAUGGGAUUAGCUUGUAGGUGGGGUAACGGCUCACCUAGGCGACGAUCCCUAGCUGGUCUGAGAGGAUGACCAGCCACACUGGAACUGAGACACGGUCCAG